rfam:Spirochaetes bacterium RBG_13_51_14 RBG_13_scaffold_515, whole genome shotgun sequence.
CGGGAUGUAGCGCAGCCCGGUUAGCGCGCUUCGUUCGGGACGAAGAAGUCGGGAGUUCAAAUCUCCCCAUCCCGA